rnacentral:rRNA from 1 species
GUGUUACAAUGGUCGGGACAAUGGGUUGCCAAGCCGCAAGGCGGAGCUAAUCCCAUCAAACCCGGCCCCAGUUCGGAUUGAGGGCUGCAACUCGCCCUCAUGAAGCCGGAAUCGCUAGUAAUCGCGGAUCAGCCACGCCGCGGUGAAUACGUUCUCGAGUCCUGUACUCACCGCCCGUCACGCCAAGGGAGCCGGAAGAGGAUGAAGUCCGCCGUAAGGCGGGUCAGUUCUAAUUCGGUGACAUGGGCGAAGUCGUAACAAGGCACGCGUAGCGGAAGCUGUGCGUGGAACAAUUACACU